rnacentral:lncRNA from 1 species
UUUUUUUUUUUUUUGAGACGGAGUCUCGCUCUGUCACCCAGGCCGGAGUACAGUGGCGCGAUCUCGGCUCACUGCAAGCUCCGCCUCCCAGGCUCACGCCAUUCUCCUGCCUCCGCCUCCCGAGUAGCUGGGACUACAGGCGCCCGCCACCACGCCCGGCUGAUUUUUUGUAUUUUUAGUAGAGACGGGGUUUCACCGUUUUAGCCAGGAUGGUCUCAAUCUCCUGACCUCGUGAUCCGCCUGCCUCGGCCUCCCAAAGUGCUAGGAUUACAGGCGUGAGCCACCGCGCCGGCCUCCUUUUUUCAAUCUUCCCUGCCAUUGGCUUCUUUUAGAAUCCUGCUGAUUGGUGCAUUUUACAGAGCGUUGAUCGGUGCGUUUUACAGACUGGUAUGUUUUACAAUCCUCGUGUAAGACAGGAAAGUUCCUGAUUGGUGCGUUUUUACAAUCCUCUUGUAAAACAGGAAAGUUCCCCAAGUCCCCACUCGACCCAGAAAGUCCAGUUGGCUCACCUCUCACUAGACUCGGCGAUGGGGACCCUGCUUCACCGUUCUAAGUGUCUGCUUCUCUUGGCAAUGGCAGAAGUUUAUCUGCUCUGCUGUGGGGCAGUGGCAGAGUGGAAAGCAGAAAAGUUCAGUAUCUGGCAGGAAUGUGCUUCUUUUCCAUUUCUCUGUGCGAGAAUGAGAAGAGUGGUGCUGGGGUGCGUUUUCUGACCUCACUGCUCCGGGCCUAAGAGCCAGGGUGGAGUGGUCCCCUUGUCCUGCCUGUCUCGUGAAGCUGCGAAUACCAUAGGCAGCGGUUGGAGGAUAGGGGAGGGAAUGAAUGCAGUGGUUUGAAGAAAGCUGAUCUUGUCCCUGCUGACCCUGGCCUGGGUCAGGCAGCUCCCCAAGGGCAUUGUAUUAUAACUGUUGGUAGAGGAGCUGCUAGAUUGUGAGAGCACCCCCACAACCAGGUUGUGCCCAGAAAGUGUUCCCGCCCCUGCCCUUUUGUUUCUUUCUUUUUUUUUUUUUUUUUUUUGUUUUUGUUUUUUUUUUUUUGAGACUGGGUUUUCUUAUGUUGCCCAGGCUGGUCUCGAACUCCUGGGUUCAAGCGAUCCUCCUGCCUCAGCCUCUGGAGUAACUGGGACCACAAGCACGUGCCACCACGCCCAGCUUUCCCACCCUCUUCUUCAUCAUUUUGCUUUCCUGGCCACAGGAGCAGAGGCUUUUGUGCCUGGCAUCUCACCCCUUGGCCCUCUUCCAACCCCAGCUCCAGCGGCUGCCCCUCACUGUGCCUUUUCUGCUCAGUCCUUGCACGGGUGCAGCCUGGAAUGGAGAUGGGGGAAGGGGGAAGUGGGAGACGAGAGGAGGGGGAUAGGUGCUUCAGUCUCCGCGCCUUCGGGGAGUCGAUUCUGACGUACUCUGC